GUUGAAAUAGGUCAGUUGGGAGAGCGUUAGACUGAAGAUCUAAAGGUCCCUGGUUCAAUCCCAGGUUUCGGCA
rnacentral:tRNA from 2 species